UACAGAGGUCCCAAGCGUUGUUCGGAUUCACUGGGCGUAAAGGGUGCGUAGGCGGUCUCGCAAGUCUGGCGUGAAAGCCCAAGGCUCAGCCUUGGAAGUGCGCUCGAAACGGCGAGGCUGGAGUGCCGGAGGGGAGAGUGGAAUUCCUGGUGUAGCGGUGAAAUGCGUAGAGAUCAGGAAGAACACCGGUGGCGAAGGCGCUCUGCUAGGCCGUAACUGACACUGAGGGACGAAAGCUAGGGGAGCGAAUGGG
rnacentral:rRNA from 1 species